rnacentral:rRNA from 1 species
AUGUAUUGCCUUUCGCCCCUCCAGCAUCUUAUGUGUAGCCCCGCCAUUGCUCCACAUGAUACUUUGGUAACUGGGUUUCCACCGCGCAAAGUCGGCACACUCCCGCGCAAUAUUGCACAAUCAACAUUAGGCCCGGCGCUCCUCCCCAAGGAGGCCGUCGAUUUUGCCAAAACGCUUCAUGUCACUUCUGAUGCAUCCACUGUCUUGCCAUUUUUUGCCAGGGAUGCCCCCUUCUUGAGCUUCUUCCACUCCCUUGCAGAGACAUACACUGGAGGGUGGUGGAGUUGUCGGAUCAACAAGCUUGAGCUCCUCGAUGUUGGUUGGACUCGAUGCCCAUAUCCAAGUUUCUCCUUUGUUGGCGCAAAAUCAUUUUCUUUCGCACAGUCAUGUUCUUUCUCCACGUCCAUCGAUGCUACAUGGCAGGGGCGGACCUACAUUCACGCAACCGGUAUCACAAGACACCGGGUAGAAAUUGCACUUAUACGUGUAUACUACUUCGUAUUUGGGGCUUCGGCAGUGAAAAUAAACCUAGACACCGAUUGGAGGAUUGUUGGAGCGGGCGCAGGCGCGACCCAUCUAGUAGCAAAGAAAACAAGGUAG